rnacentral:lncRNA from 1 species
GCCUAAUUUGCUGCCAUUGGCCAAACAGUAUUUUAUUCAACAAUCAAUAAGAUGAACAUACACAGAAGUACUUCCCCCAUCAAGUAGUGUGUGAAUGUUAGAGGUAAUAACCUCAAAGCUUUCUCUCUUCCUCUGUUUAGUGCCAUGAAAGGAAUUAGAAUGAAGGCCUCUAUGAAAUAAUAUGAAGAAUUUUGUACUCUCACAGAAACUCCCCAGGUAUCAUGAAAAGAAAACACUGAGUCCUCUGACUUUAUUAUUGAAGAACACAACGGGUAGUGUCUUCAACAGCAGCUUUCUGAUCAUGCAGGAAAUGUCUUCAUAUGGCUGUGUCUACAGUGGCAGGGCUUGGGGAGCAUUUACAAUCAUCAUGCAAUGCCUGCCUGAACAUACUCCCAGAGGUCAGGAAAAGAACUUUUUUAUGACCAGAGUCAGCCAAAAAUGCAAAAUGAAGCCAUCAAGGCAGAAUAUUAGGUAG